UCACACACACACACACACACACACACACACACACACACACACACACACACACACAGACACACACACACACACACACACACACACACACACACACACACACACACACACACACACACACACACACACACACACACACACACAGACACACACACACACACACACACACACACACACACACACACACACACACACACACACACACACACACACACACACACACACACACACACACACACAGGAGCUGGUCACUGCUGUAAGGGAAGGAGACAAGGCAGGGGUGAGGUCAGCACUUGACAGGGGUGCCCGGCCCGAGGUCACCGUCCCCACUAUUGCUGGGGUGUCAUGGAGUCUGCUGACUGUGGCUGCCAGCAAGGGCCAUGAGCACCUGCUGUCUCACUUACUGCAGGCAGGGUUAAGCAUAGAAGGUGGAGGCACCACUGACAGGACACCGCUGAUGAUGGCUGCCCGGAAUGGCCACGCCCAUACAGUGAAGGCGCUGCUGGACCUCCGUGGUAACCCUCUGGCCAUGGAUAGUGAAGGAUGGACAGCCCUAAAGUUUGCUGCACGGGAGGGCCACCACCAGUGUGUGGCGGCUCUCUUGCCCGUCACCCCUUCCACUCCCACACACCUCGAGGCAUACACCCCGGUGCACGCCGCCAGUUAUCGUGGCCAUGUGGAGAUACUGGAGCAGCUGGCAGAUGCUGGCUGGCCCCUCAUCGCCAAGAACAGUGAUGGCGACACACCCAUGCACCUUGCUGCGGCCGGGGGUAGAGUGACAUGUGUGCAGUGGCUGGUGCAGCGAGGCGGUGACACAAGCAUGCAAAAUAAUGAUGGACUCACCCCGCUUGACCAGGAGCUGGUCACUGCUGUAAGGGAAGGAGACGAGGCAAGGGUGAGGUCAGCACUUGACAGGGGUGCCCGGCCCGAGGUCACCCUUUCCACUGAUGAUGGGGAGUCUUGGAGUCUGCUGACUGUGGCUGCUAGCAAGGGCCACGAGCACCUGCUGUCUCACUUACUGCAGGCAGGGUUUAAUCAUAGAAGGUGGAGGCACCACUGAAGAGACACCGCUGAUGAUGGCUGCCCAUAAUGGCCACGCCCAUACAGUGAAGGCGCUGCUGGACCUCCGUGGUAACCCUCUGGCCAUAGAUAGUGGAGGAUGGACAGCCCUACACUUUGCUGCAUGGGAGGGCCACCAGCAGUGUGUGGCGGCCCUCUUGCAUGUCACCCCUCCCACUCCCGCACACCUCGAGGCAUACACCCCGGUGCACCUCGCAAGUUAUGGUGGCCAUGUGGAGGUACUGGAGCAGCUGGCAGGUGCUGGCUGGCCCCUCACCGCUAAGAACAGUGAUGGCGACACACCCAUGCACCUUGCUGCGGCCAGGGAUAGAGUGACAUGUGUGCAGUGGCUGGUGCAGCGAGGCGGUGACACAAGCAUGGAAAAUAAUGCUGGACUCACCCUGCUUGACCAGGUAGGCAGUGGGGAGGGGCAGGAGGGUGGACGUAUGCAAACUGUCUUACGAUCUGGUUCAAAGUUUAACAGAUAGAGAUACCAAAGAAACAUGCGAUUGGUUGACCAGGUUUAUUAUAUUUUUAGUUGUAGUAGUAGUAGUAGUAGUACUAGUAGUAGUAGUAGUAGCAGUAGUAGAAGUAGUAUUAAUAGUUGCAGAAGCAGUAGUAGUAAUAGUAGUAGCAGUAUUUUUAGUUGUAGUAGUAGUAGUAGUAGUAGUAGUAGUAGUAGUAGUAGUAGUAGUAGUACAAGUAGUAGUACAAGUAGUAGUAGAAGCAGUAGUAGUAGUAGUAGUAGUAGUAGAACUAGUAGUAGUAGUAGUAGUAGUAGUAGUAAUAGUAGUACAAGUAGUACUAGCAGUAGUAGAAGUAGUAGUAGAAGCAGUAGUAUUAGUAAUAGUAGUAGUAAUAGCACUAGUAGAAGAAGUAGUUGUAGAAGAAGUAAUGGUAUUUUUAUUAUCAUCGUUUUCACAACAUAAAUUAAUAAUUAUGAAAUAAAUAAUUAUUAUUAUCAUCACUUUUCACCUUGAUUUCCUUGUUAUAUUAUUCUAUAAUUAUAGUUAUCAUUAUCAUCAUAAACAUCUUUAGUGUCUUUCUUCUUUAUCAUCACCGUCCUUUCAUCAUCAUCAGCACCAUCAUCAUCACCACCAUCAUCAUCACUAUUAUAUCAUUGUUUUAUAUUGUUAUUACUAGUUGUAGUAGUAGUAGUAGUAGUAGUAGUAGUAGUAGUAGUAGUAAUAGAACUAGUAAUAAUAGUCUUAGAUGUAGUAGUAUUAGCAGUAGUAGUAAAAUUAAUAGUUUUAAUAGUACUAAUAGUAGAAGUAGUAGUAGUAGUAAUAGUAGUAGUAGUAGUAGUAGAAGUAGUAGUAGUAGUAGUAGUAGUAGUAGUAGUAGUAGUAGUAGUAGUAGAAGUAGUAGUAGUAGUAGUAGUAGUAGUAGUAAUAGAAGUAGUAAUAAUAGUAGUAGAUGUAGUAGUAGUAGCAGUAGUAGUAAUGGUAAUAGUAUUAACAGUAGUAAUAGUAGAAGUAGAUUUAGCGGUAGUAGCAGUAUUAGUAGUAAUAGUAGUAGUAAUAGUAACAGUAGAAGUAGUUUUAGUAGUAGUAGUAGUAGUAGUAGUAGUAGUAGUAGUAGUAAUAGUUUAAGUGUAGUAGUAGUUGUAGUAGAAGUAGUAGUUAUAGAAGUAGUGGUAGUAGUAGUAGCAGUAGUAGCAAUAAUUCUAGUUGGUUGUUGUGAGCGUCACGGAGCGACCGUUGAAAGGGUCGAACUAGGUCGGAAGGGUUAUCAGGUGAUAAAUCGCGUAGGGAAAACUCCGAGCAGCCCGCGCGGCUGCCCAUCCACUCUUCGUCGGGGAUACAGGUGCCACCUACUCCAUAUAUUUCUAUAUAAAUCUUACUAUAUAUUAUAGACUGAUAUCUCUGUUAUAAUACUAGGUAUAAAUCUUUCUGUUUAAUUUUAUUGGAGCCAUGCACACCACGUGAGUAUCCAAAAUUACAGAUCUUCAUUAAAUUUUCAGUAGUAAUAUACUAUCACUCUAACUGUUGUAACAGUACUCCUAAGACGGCUGUUGUCACUACUACUGCCGCUAAACAUUGUAGGGAAUACUGAGUAAAGUGCCUGUAAUACAUAUCUAAGUCCCAUAUUUACCAUAAAUGUUUCUCUCUCUCUCUCUCUCUCUCUCUCUCUCUCUCUCUCUCUCUCUCUCUCUCUCUCUC